rnacentral:tRNA from 2 species
GGGGAUGUAGCUCAGUUGGGAGAGCGCGUGGAUCGCACCCACGAGGUCGUCAGUUCGAAUCUGAUCAUCUCCA